AUCAUUUCCAACAUAGAUGUCUUUAAGGAAGAACCAUUGAGCUCUAAUGGCAAGAACAAUCGCAUUUAAAAGAAAAAUUAAUUGUAUUUGCUUAUUCUGAAAUAAUUGACCAUAGAAAUUGAAAAAUCAUUGAUGUAUAACCUUAUUUUUAUUAACGAUAAUUUUUUUCUUAGAAGUAGUUGUCUACAUCUAUCCAUUUUGUUUAAUUACAAACAGUUCACGCUAUUGUAUGACAGUUUUAGCGAUAGUUAUGAGAGAGUUAUAUUUUGGGAGAAACUUGUUCUCUCACCUUUGCCCGCUCUCAGCAAACUUUUUGCACACUCAUGUCUGCAUAGUGGCACCCUAAGAGUUUCCAUUAGAAAUUAUUUAGCUUUAAUAGAAUUGUUGGUUAUCCCCUAGUUAAUAGUAUAAUAUGAUUUAUCACAUUUAUUCUGGCAAGAUCUCCCUUUUUCUGUAUGCAUCAUUCAUUCUUCAAAGAAUUAAAUAUCUAAAUAUGUCAUCUUUCUCUUUCAAUAAAUGAAAAUGCUUCUAAAGUAAUGAAGAUGCAACGGGGUUAACUAGGAAAAGGGCAGUUUUAUGUUAUUCUACAUUUUUAAAUUUUGCAUUUGGUAAGGUAUCUGCAUCCUGGAUUAAAUGAUUGCCGUCACAAAUACACUGACAUAAGAACAGAACAAUUCCGUAAGAACAGAAUAAUUAACAUCUGAAAUGCUAACUUUUUCAAAUAUAUAAAAAUUCUUGUCUAAAGAUGAGAAAAUUUUUCAUUUUUUUUUAAUUAAUAAUAUUUUCAUCACUAAAUACAAGAAGAUUACACUCUUUAAAUAUAUGAAGAUAGAUAGAUGCCCAAAAGCUUAACCUUUUGAAAAAUGAAGGAUAAAGUGAGAAGAGUAUAUAAAAACAUAGAGGAAAAAAUCCUGCCAGAAAUAUGAAAGUCACUAGCAAAAGAAAGUACUCUUUAAUUCAAUCCUGCACAAUUGAUUGUGAAAUAUUGCAUUGGCCUAAAAAAAAACUAAAUGAUUUCGUUUUUAAAUGUCAAUGAAAUGUUUCGCUACCUCAAUGAAAACAUUGUGUAGAAAUGUAGAAUUUAUAAAAUAUGCACAUUGUAAAACAAUAUUCUGUUUUUAGAUUCUUUUAUCAUCACUUGAAUAAGUGCACAUUAAUCAGAGAUGGAGGAGGUCCAAUAAAUAAUAAUAUAAUAUGUAUUUGUUAAUUAAAAUAU
rnacentral:lncRNA from 1 species